UACGUAGGGGGCAAGCGUUGUCCGGAAUCACUGGGCGUAAAGGGUGCGUAGGCGGGUCUUUUAAGUCAGGGGUGAAAUCCUGGAGCUCAACUCCAGAACUGCCUUUGAUACUGAGGAUCUUGAGUCCGGGAGAGGUGAGUGGAACUGCGAGUGUAGAGGUGAAAUUCGUAGAUAUUCGCAAGAACACCAGUGGCGAAGGCGGCUCACUGGCCCGGUACUGACGCUGAGACGCGAAAGCGUGGGGAGCGAACAGG
rnacentral:rRNA from 1 species